ensembl:snoRNA
UCUGCAGCCAAACCCAAAGCUCGCACCUCGCCCGUGGUGUGAAUUAGUCUGGCGUGCAAACAGAACCGACCCCUGUCGCCUUUCUCUGCCGCUGCCAUGCCUCUGAAAGUGAAUUCAGGGGUCAACACUG